GUGUUUUCUUUGGCAGCACAUCCACUAAAGUUGGAACAACACAGAGAAGGUUAGCGUGGACCCUGUGUAAGGAUGACACGCAGUUCAGGAAGUGUUCUAUAUUUUU
ensembl:snRNA U6 U6 spliceosomal RNA